CGUGUUUGGCUUGGCCUGAUCCCUGCGGUGUCUUGCCAAACCUGCAACCUCCUGUCAGGAGCCAUUCAGCCCUGGAUGGGAAAUAUUCCUCAUGCUGUUGUCGGAAAGCUGAUCUCUCAUGCUCUGACGACUGUGUUCAUGGCUCCUGCUGUGUGGUGUUCUACUGUCCCGGGAACUGCCAUUUCUGAUCAAUUUAUUUUCAUAGUCCAGUGAAGAGGUAAUGGAAAAGGAUGCAGAAAAAAGGGAGAAGUUGGUGUGUCAGCUGCAUUUUAAAGAGGAAUUUCAUUCUGUCUCAAGAAACUUCCGCUUGCAUUCCGUUCUGCCAUGCGCAGGACCGGGCUGCUAGACCAAGCUACUGAUGCGUGCGGAAACUCUCCUCGCUGCUGCAAAGUGUUCCAUUCAAGACCAUGACCAACCCUGAAUGAAGUCUUCCAGUUCGAUGUUGAUGCAUAACGUGAAGGAAGAGAAGCUGAAAAAUGUGAGAAGAACAGAUGUUCUGUGGUUUCAAGAACACUUCACGUUCUUUGGAAAAUGCACAGUUGUUACACCUUAAAGUCCC